GAGUCGCAGACCAUUUCGGCAUUUCCUCCGCUAAACUCGAACCCUAGACACGACACGGCCGCGGCUGCCGGCGGCGCGGCGACAGAGGCAUCCGGCGUACUGCCUUCUUGCUCGCCCCUCUGGCCUCUGCGCUCCGCCUCGAUGGCAGCGCCCAAGGCCGCAGCGGGCGAGCGGCGUCGCCUUCCCCCCUUCCCUGACGCUUCUGCAGCAACUGAGCCACUUCGUAGGUGGAACAAGAAGCCUUUGAAGAACAGAGAGACGAUGAGCUUCCCGUUGGUGGGGCGGCUGGUGGAAACGGGCCGCUGGGGAGCCAUGUUGCUCACCCAUGCUCUCAUGGGCGUCGACAAGGACCCCACCCCGUGAUUUAGUCACUAGGAUUUGGUUUCAUUCUACUCUAUGUACUCCUAUCUAGGUGGUAGGUAGUUUUGGGAUUCAUUCCAUAGACAAAAAACAUAAGUAAAAUUAGAUCUAUCGUGUACUCGACAACUACUGUAAUGCUAUUGA